rnacentral:rRNA from 1 species
GACGAACGCUGGCGGCGUGCUUAACACAUGCAAGUCGAACGGUAAGGCCCUGCUUUUGUGGGGUGCUCGAGUGGCGAACGGGUGAGUAACACGCGAGUAACCUGCCCUUGACUUUGGGAUAACUUCAGGAAACUGGGGCUAAUACCGGAUAGGAGCUUCUGCUGCAUGGUGGGGGUUGGCACGUUUCGGCGGUUGGGGAUGGACUCGCGGCUUACCAGCUUGUUGGUGGGGUAGUGGCUUACCAAGGCUUUGACGGGUAGCCGGCCUGAGCGGGUGACCGGCCACAUUGGGACUGAGAUACGGCCCAGACUCCUACGGGAGGCAGCAGUGGGGAAUAUUGCACAAUGGGCGGAAGCCUGAUGCAGCAACGCCGCGUGCGGGAUGACGGCCUUCGGGUUGUAAACCGCUUUCGCUUGUGACGAAGCGAGAGUGACGGUAACGGGAGAAGAAGCACCGGCUAACUACGUG